GUAAUAAUUAGCAACUGCUGGGAGAGGGAGAUGUAUUUUCCUGAAACAUAUGGUUCCUGGUAGGUCAACUGUGCUCCACUGAAGGUAAUCCACCCAGGAUUAGAUGGGCAGCCAUGCUGUACUUGGUAGGGCUAUAAAAACCAGCAAACUAAAAAAGGGUGACAAAGUUGGGUAGAAAGAAAAGUCGUGGAUUUAAGUGGAUUUGAGAGAGAAGACCCAGGCCAAGACAACAGUGAAGGAGCCAUAAUGAGGAUGAAAGGUAUUUAUAGCAGAGGAUUCCUCAAGAAGUUCUGAUCAGGCAAGAUGCCGUGGGACUAUCCAUUGGAGUGUUUAGAGACUGCUUCUUAUGCAUACAGAAGCUAUGCAACUGAUGGGAUAAUUCCGUUUGGGAGAAGCAACAUGACCAAGGCAACUCCUGAAGAAAGCUUUUACUGGGGCUCAUGAAUAGCUUCAGAGGAUUUGCCAACUCCGGGCGUGGUUUUCACUCCAAAUAUUCAGAAGCUGGAGAAGAGAGGAUAGCGAGCUUGAAGCCAGCUUGGGGUGUUUAGUAAGUCCCAGACCAACCCAACCUACCUACACAGUUCCUGCCAAAACAAAACCGUCAUCACCGCCAGCCCCACGGCCAUCAUCAAAAACAACAAAACCCCACAAAGAUUUUACUCUUCAAAACCCUUAGCACAUCAUUUCGUUCGUUUUCUUUCAGUGAUUCAAAUAAAAUAUCUUGAAUUCUGUCAGA